GACGAACGCUGGCGGCGUGCCUAAUACAUGCAAGUAGAACGCUGAAGCUUGGUGCUUGCACCGAGCGGAUGAGUUGCGAACGGGUGAGUAACGCGUAGGUAACCUGCCUGGUAGCGGGGGAUAACUAUUGGAAACGAUAGCUAAUACCGCAUAAGAGUAGAUGUUGCAUGACAUUUGCUUAAAAGGUGCAAUUGCAUCACUACCAGAUGGACCUGCGUUGUAUUAGCUAGUUGGUGAGGUAACGGCUCACCAAGGCAACGAUACAUAGCCGACCUGAGAGGGUGAUCGGCCGCACUGGGACGGGGACACGCCCCAGACUCCUACGGAAGGCAGCAGUAGGGAUUCUUGAGCAAGGGACGGAGGUCGGACCGAGCAACGCGGCGUGAGUGAAGAAGGUUUUCGGGUCGUAAAGCUCUGUUGUAAGGGAAGAACGAGUGUGAGAGUGGAAAGUUCACACUGUGACGGUAUCUUACCAAAAAGGGCCGGCUAACUACGUG
rnacentral:rRNA from 1 species